CUUCUCUCAUUCUCUCUCUCCCCCUUCUCUCUUUCUCUCUCCCUCUGUUAUGCAGUAAACAACGCUCAGGUCAGUGUGACACCACCACAGGCACAUCUUCGUCACCUGCUGCGAGGGGGAACAGAAUGGAGCGUUCCACAGCAAUUUCACUCCUGUGGUUUCCAGGGAAGAGCCUUAGGAGAAUGUGUUAAUCAGCCAGCAAGCAGAGAGGGAACAAGGUGUGCCAUGGGCAGGACAUUGUGGCUCAAUGAGCCAUAGCUCGGGGGACGACGACGACACUUGGAAGCUUUUUGACUGUCCUUGAGAAUGAGGGGCUGAUGAUCGUCUAAAUAUCCAUUUUACCAGCCAUCUCCCACAGGGUGACAUGUCAGUUCUGGAGAGCUUGACAGGGACAAGAGGGGAAUACUGAUGUGGUCAUCAAACGUCUUAUGCGACACUGCGCUAUGAUUACAGCUGUGGGGGAGUUAUUGAGACACAUGAAUGGAGCUGCAGAGCCCGUCAGGUAAAAGUAGCCCACUAAUUGAGGUCAAAUUCUUUCAUUUGUAUCUUUGUUAAAGCUGCACUAUGUAACUUUUUGGGCGACCCAACCUUAGUUACAGAACUAUCAUUCUCAAUGAAAGCAAGUCUAAGAAACGGUUGAUCUGUUCUACAGUGUGUGCACUAUAUUUCUAUGCUUCCAUUCUGAAGUUUAGUUUUCCAAUUUAUAGUGCACCUUUAAUGAUUCAUGAGGAAAGGGGGUUCAUGGGGUGAUUACCAAGCAUGAAUAUUCCCUUCUCAUCUAUUCAGUAAAGCCUUCCUCACCUUUCAAACAUGACAGUUUUGAAAAAUGAGCGUUUUGGUCAUUUUGUCAUGAUGAAUGGAGACAAAGCUUGUCAGCUUCAUCAGUUUUAGACAGAUAUGACAAAAGAGCAGGAUGGAUCCAUUUUCCCUUUGGGUGUUUUUCUGUUGAGUUUCUAUUGGAUAAGCAUGAGUGUUUAAUAUUCUCUUUGAAAAAGAAGAGAGAGUGAGUGUGAGUAAGAGAGUGAGAGAGGGAAAGAGAAUCAGAGAGUGUGUGAGAUAAAGAGAGAGCAAGAGAGGGAUAGAGAGAGUGUGUGCGCUUGAGAGAAAUUGCAUUUAUGUAACAGUUUCUUACCCCUAAUCCCAUGUAUAAAGUGGGGAUACCUGAGUCAAUUGUACAACUGAAAUGUGUCCUCUGAAUCAGAGAGGUGUGGGGAGCUGCCUUAAUCAACAUCCACAUUGUCUGGGGAACAGUGGGUUAACUGCCUUGCUCAGGGGCAGAAUGACAGCUUUUUACCUUGUCAGCUUGGGGAUUUGAUCCAACAACCUUUUGGUUACUGGCCCAAUUCUCUAGCCACUAGGCUACACCUCCAGUCAGUCACUGCCUCUGUCUCCUCUCAGAGCUUACCAGAGCUGCUUUCCUUUCUGUACAGCAGUCCCAGCCAGUCCUUCGGUCAACCACUGUUAAGUGAUACAAAUUGAGCUUCUAUCUAUCAGGUCUCUUCCAGACACUAAACAGCCUGACCAAGGGAUGUCAGACUGAUUAAUCACGGCUAAUGAAAUCAAAGAAAACCCUGCCUUGGUCACUUAUAUAAUGUGCAUGAAUGGUGAAAGUGUGUGUUCAUGUACUCUUCAUGUAUUAUAGGUGUGUGUGUGUGUGUGUGUGUGUGUGUGUGUGUGUGUGUGUGUGUGUGUGUG
ensembl:lncRNA